rnacentral:tRNA from 1 species
GGUGGCUCAGUGGUAGAGCGCUUGCCUGCCACGCAUGAGGCCCUGGGUUCAAUUCCUCAGCACCA